GUCCUUUUGUCUGUUUAUAUAAGGUCUAACCUGCCCAAUGAGGAAUUGAAUGGCCGCAGUAUUUUAACUGUGCUAAGGUAGCAUAAUCAUUUGUCUUUUAAUUGAGGGCUGGAAUGAAAGGUUGGAUGAGGUAUAAGCUUUCUUUAAUUUAGUUAGGAAAAUUUAAUUUUUGAGUCAAAAAGCUUAAAUUUAUUUGUUGGACGAGAAGACCCUAUAGAUCUUUAUAGUUUAAUGUUUCAGUAAUUUAGGGUUUUAUUUACUUGGAGCGUGAAGACUAUUUGGUUGGGGUGACUGUAGAAUUUAAAUAACUUCUAUUUUUUAAUUUCAUUAAUUUAUGUAUUGAUGAUCCAUGUUUUCAUGAUUAAAAGAUUAAGUUACCUUAGGGAUAACAGCGUAAUUUCCUCGGAGAGUUCAUAUUGAUGAGGGAGUUUGCGACCUCGAUGUUGGAUUAAAGUAAGUUGUAGGUGCAGGAGCCUACAUACUAGGUCUGUUCGACCUUUGAAUUUUU
rnacentral:rRNA from 1 species